GCUUAGCCAUAAACCCAGAUAAUCACAAAACAAGAUUAUUCGCCAGAGUACUACUAGCAACAGCUUAAAACUCAAAGGACUUGGCGGUGCUUCAUAUCCCUCUAGAGGAGCCUGUUCUAUAAUCGAUAAACCCCGAUCAACCUCACCAACCCUUGCUACUUCAGUCUAUAUACCGCCAUCUUCAGCAAACCCCAGUAAGGGAACGACAGUAAGCACAACUACUUUACGUAAAAACGUUAGGUCAAGGUGUAACCUAUGGGAUGGGAAGAAAUGGGCUACAUUUUCUACACUAAGAAUACCCCUUUAUACCUAAACGAAAGUUUUUAUGAAAUAUAAAAACCAAAGGAGGAUUUAGCAGUAAAUUAAGAAUAGAGCGCUUAAUUGAAUAAGGCCAUGAAGCACGC
rnacentral:rRNA from 1 species